GGAGGAAAAGAAACUAACAAGGAUUCCCCUAGUAACUGCGAGUGAAGCGGGAAAAGCUCAAAUUUAAAAUCUGUCAGUCUUUGGCUGUCCGAGUUGUAAUCUAGAGAAGCGUUAUCCGCGCUGGACCGUGUACAAGUCUCCUGGAAUGGAGCGUCAUAGAGGGUGAGAAUCCCGUCUUUGACACGGACUGCCAGGGCUUUGUGAUGCGCUCUCAAAGAGUCGAGUUGUUUGGGAAUGCAGCUCAAAAUGGGUGGUAAAUUCCAUCUAAAGCUAAAUAUUGGCGAGAGACCGAUAGCGAACAAGUACCGUGAGGGAAAGAUGAAAAGAACUUUGGAAAGAGAGUUAAACAGUACGUGAAAUUGCUGAAAGGGAAACGCUUGAAGUCAGUCGCGUUGUCCAGGGAUCAACCUUGCUUUUGCUUGGUGUACUUUCUGGUUGACGGGUCAGCAUCAAUUUUGACUAUUGGAAAAAGAUCAAGGGAAUGUGGCAUCUUUGGAUGUGUUAUAGCCCUUGGUUGCAUACAAUGGUUGGGAUUGAGGAACUCAGCACGCCGCAAGGCCGGGUUUUAACCACGUACGUGCUUAGGAUGCUGGCAUAAUGGCUUUAAUCGACCCGUCUUGAAACACGGACCAAGGAGUCUAACAUGCCUGCGAGUGUUUGGGUGGAAAACCCGAGCGCGUAAUGAAAGUGAAAGUUGAGAUCCUUGUCAUGGGGAGCAUCGACGCCCGGACCAGACCUUUUGUGACGGUUCCGCGGUAGAGCAUGUAUGUUGGGACCCGAAAGAUGGUGAACUAUGCCUGAAUAGGGUGAAGCCAGAGGAAACUCUGGUGGAGGCUCGUAGCGAUUCUGACGUGCAAAUCGAUCGUCAAAUUUGGGUAUAGGGGCGAAAGACUAAUCGAA
rnacentral:rRNA from 1 species